rnacentral:rRNA from 1 species
GUGGGGAAUAUUGCACAAUGGGCGCAAGCCUGAUGCAGCGACGCCGCGUGGGGGAUGACGGCCUUCGGGUUGUAAACUCCUUUCGACAGGGACGAAGCUUUUGUGACGGUACCUGUAGAAGAAGCACCGGCUAACUUCGUGCCAGCAGCCGCGGUAAUACGAAGGGUGCAAGCGUUAUCCGGAUUCAUUGGGUUUAAAGGGUGCGUAGGCGGAGCGUUAAGUCAGUGGUGAAAUCCUGCAGCUUAACUGUAGACUUGCCAUUGAUACUGGCGCUCUUGAGUGCGCUUGAAGUGGGCGGAAUGUGCCGUGUAGCGGUGAAAUGCUUAGAUAUGGCACAGAACACCAAUUGCGAAGGCAGCUCACUAAGGCGAUACUGACGCUGAGGCACGAAAGCGUGGGGAUCGAACAGGAUUAGAUACCCCGGUAGUCC